rnacentral:rRNA from 1 species
UACAGAGGUGGCAAGCGUUGUUCGGAAUUACUGGGCGUAAAGGGCGCGUAGGUGGCCUUCUUAGUCAGACGUGAAAUCCCCAGGCUUAACCUGGGAACUGCGUCUGAUACUGGAAGGCUCGAGUUCGGGAGAGGAAUGUGGAAUUCCAGGUGUAGCGGUGAAAUGCGUAGAUAUCUGGAGGAACACCGGUGGCGAAGGCGGCAUUCUGGACCGAAACUGACGCUGAGGCGCGAAAGGCCAGGGGAGCAAACGGG